AAGUCAUAACAAGGUUUCCGUAGGUGAACCUGCGGAAGGAUCAUUAAUAAAUGCUUCAUUGCAUCCACCUUUUGUGCACUGUAAAUAUUUCACUUGAAUUUUGUCUGAUUAAUCUUUGUUCUGAAAGGAACAUGAAUUAUAAUCUAAUACAACUUUUAACAAUGGAUCUCUUGGCUCUC
rnacentral:misc_RNA from 1 species